rnacentral:rRNA from 1 species
GAUGAACGCUGGCGGCGUGCCUAAUACAUGCAAGUCGAGCGAACGGACGAGAAGCUUGCUUCUCUGAUGUUAGCGGCGGACGGGUGAGUAACACGUGGAUAACCUACCUAUAAGACUGGGAUAACUUCGGGAAACCGGAGCUAAUACCGGAUAAUAUUUUGAACCGCAUGGUUCAAAAGUGAAAGACGGUCUUGCUGUCACUUAUAGAUGGAUCCGCGCUGCAUUAGCUAGUUGGUAAGGUAACGGCUUACCAAGGCAACGAUGCAUAGCCGACCUGAGAGGGUGAUCGGCCACACUGGAACUGAGACACGGUCCAGAGUCCUACGGGAGGCAGCAGUAGGGAAUCUUCCGCAAUGGGCGAAAGCCUGACGGAGCAACGCCGCGUGAGUGAUGAAGGUCUUCGGAUCGUAAAACUCUGUUAUUAGGGAAGAACAUAUGUGUAAGGAACUGUGCACAUCUUGACGGUACCUAAUCAGAAAGCCACGGCUAACUACGUG